CGUUUAUCGUCGUCCUGAAUCCACGAAUAUCGUCCGUCGAUGGAAUUUUUGGACGAACACUGCCAACGGGUUCUGGAGGAUACAGCAACAAGGAUUCAGAUGUUACGUUAUGGCUCUCCCGAAGAAAGGAUGGCCAGGCAACGGUAAUCGUUUCGCGGGGUUUUGAAAUAUAAGAGGAUAACCACUUACCGGCUCUCACGUUAACAUCUCGGCUGUGAACUGAACCUGCAGGGGAACGCGCCAGACAGCUGUAAACCUGAGCAUGAACCUCUUGACGAUAAUCCUCGGCACGGAAAGGAGGGAAGACCAAGUUUCCGUUCGGCAAGACCUGUAGACACGCAAUUUUCCAUCGAUGAAAAGCAAGUUCUAAUAAGGGAAGGAGAAUCUAUCGAAUCGAAUGACACUAGAAAAUGAAUUACCUGUCGAAGUCCGGGAACAUCUCCAACAGCACUUCCGUCAGCACGAACCCAAAUAAUAUCCGGUUGGGGGUUUCCUCUAGCCUGGCAUUCGACGACAGCACCGGUUCCGUUAGAGAAAUCAACUCGAUUUGGUGGUUCCUUGACAAAUACCGGUCCCAUAGAUUCAUCCUCAGCGCAAGCCACUGGAAAAACAAGGAAUAGAAGAAUCGUUUCGCUUAUCAUCCGUCUCCACCAGGAUACGCGACACCCACGUUCAAUUGGCGCGUCGCCAAUUGCAGCAAACAACAGGUUGCCGGUCUCUGCUAUUGAAUAAUAUGCUAUCAACGUCACGUGACCAUAAGGGAGACGACAAUGCGUGAUUCCUUUUCCGUCGAGGAGAGCAGUGUUCCUUGCCGCAUCCAUCGAUGCGCGAAGAGUUCGCCGUUCGAACGUGCUCUCUGAUUGAAAUUCCUCCUUGAGCGCGUUCUCCCUGUAUGAUCGCGAAUUGGUACCUUACGAAGGAUGAUAGUGAUCUCGAGAAUUUCAGACGACUAAUCGAAGAGAGAAGAACGAAUAAGGCAAGGAAGUUAUAGCGGAAGUAGAAGGAAGCCCUUCGCUAAUAUAAUUUUCAACCUCGGAACGCAAGUUCACUGCUGUUUACGAUUAUACAAGAGUUCCAUGUGCCACUUUCCAAGCGGUGUAACCGCCUACCAGCUUAACUCGCGGUUGCGACGCGCCGAGAACGGGUAAAUGCAGUGUGCAAUAAAAUCCGAGUCACGAAGAACCGGUUACUAAAAGUGUACAGAGACCGAAAGAACGAACAGGAGGCGUGCAGGUACCAAGAACAGGUGUUCUGAACUUUCGUUGGAUCGGAACUGUUGCCCUCUCUCAUCCUUCUCGCUUUCUUUGGCGUGCCUAGCCUUGCUUUGUUCCUUACCAUCGCGUGAACAUGGUGUGAAUUUAAUUAUAAUUGACGUACAUACACGUCGUUGAAAGUCGACUAUUAACACUUUUAUGACCGGCAUUAGCUGUACGUGACUUCUGGGCAUUCAGGUGUCCAUUUUCAUAUUCUCUUGUGAAGAUACCGCGAAAUCGUUCGGGAUUGAAUGAAAAUUUUCAUUUCUAAAGCGUUGAUGGAUACCUCGGUACCUGGUUGCCUUCACAAUAGAGUCUUAUUCGUCUCCGAAGUGGCUGACACACUUUUUGGUAUUCUGAAGAGAAGGCGAAGUGCCAAACGAUCCAGAAGAGACCGAAUGGCGGUCGGCUUCCAGCUUUUCAAAAGUUGCCGAUCAUUAUGACCGUCACGAUCCUUCGAGUCCCUACGGAACGUGAAUCGUGCGUGAGUCACAUCUGCUCACGUUUUCGUCGUGUGAACACGUUAUAUGGCCGCGUACGCGCGUCCUAUCUUUGCUGGAAAUAUAUUCGAUGCAGCGUGUACGGACGUUUCGAAGCUUGCCUAUAUAUAGAUUACAGAACGGUUAUCGACCGCGAGGAAUCCCGUCUUUGAUCGUGGACGCGUAAUGCUAGAACUUUAGGAAAAACAGCCUCGGUACGCUGGAAAUUAUCGGGUCAUCGAUCAAUGUAACCACGGCUCCUUUCUCUCCACUAUUUUGCAUCGCCGUCGAUGUUAAUGAACAAGCUCGUUCAUUCAACAAACGACAACGCGGAACGGAGGCGUUUCUGGCUGCCGGUCACGCGAAAUCGCGAUCCUUCCUCGUGUUUUAAAUUGACGAACGGAAAUUCAAAGUAUCUAUAUGUAUAAUCCUUGCAUUCUGUGUUUUGGGUCAAGUACCAGUUUCGUCGGUUUGUCCGAUUUAGUUGGGAACUAUUUUUAAACCCCGGCUCUUUCAAGUUGAGGACCUUUGCUCCUGCAGAGAACGCUACCUUUGUACGUUUAAUUCGCUACGCUCGUGUAUUUUUCUUCCUUUUUCAACAGUUUACCGUCCGUGGAUAGAAUAAAUAAACGCUAUCGCUUUAUAAAUACCUAAAUACGUUUCCUAAAAACCAAAAUCACGAAUUUGAGCUUAAUACCAGCCUUCGAAGUGUCAAUAAUUUUUACUGCAUCGUUAUGGAAGAGAAAUUUCGUCCUCCAUUUAUGACAUUAAUUAAAACGAAUUCGUUGUCCACUAAAUCAUCGUCUGUGUAUCUCGUGCUGCAAGUAGGGAUGCAAAAAUCAAAGGAUUCACCUGGCGGUGCACGGUGCACCGAGAAAAUACGAUUCUCUUUCAGACAUGGGCGUCCGUUCUGGGAACAGCAGCUGUUCCUUUCCCUUCGUUUCCUCUCUCUCCCCCUGCCCUUUCUUGGCCUUUUCUUCAGCAGCUGCACACCGUGCUCCGUUUCAACCUAUCUACCUACGCUUCGUGGACCUUUCACGGAAUGACGGAUUCGUAACGAACCAACGCGAGAUUGCAUCGACAACAACGAACGCGCUUUUCCGUCUGUCCAUUUCCACUGGGGACAAAAUUGCUGCCCAAAUUGCUCGAAAUGUCAACCUUAAGAGACACUGGGUCCGCUGAGACUCGCUAUUCUAUUAAAGUCUACAAUUUCUCGAGAGAAUACAAACACGAAGAUCAUCAGCUUGAGAGCUUAGGCAGCUAGCGUAUCAAGGUUUCAAGAGGUAACAAAAUACAACGUUAACUUGGUCAUUGUUUAAAAAAAGAGGAGCACGUUUUGAUUACGCUUUUGUUAAGCGAACAAGCACGAAACGUUGAAUAGCAAUUAUAAGAUUCUUCUGGAUUGCCCGUGGUUAGUUCUCCCUAUUGAUCCCGAGCAUCCAAGGAACGUGUCAUCCGGAAGAUUGUUAAACGAAAGAUGAGAUACUGCGUCAGCUGCUGACCUCACAGCUUGCAGCGGCACGUCGAUGCAUAAACGAUUAGAUGGACAAGAUAAAACGCAGCAACGCAUACUUUCAGCUCGUUAAACGUACUCUGAAUUCUCCUCUUUGUGCGCUGCUAUACAUUUUCAUAAAAAAAAAAAAAAAA